rnacentral:rRNA from 1 species
AUUGAACGCUGGCGGCAGGCCUAACACAUGCAAGUCGAGCGAGCGGCGGACGGGUGAGUAAUGUAUGGGGACUGCCCGCUAGAGGGGGAUAACUACUGGAAACGGUAGCUAAUACCGCAUACUAUCGGAUAACCCAUAUGGGAUUCGGUAGUAGGUGAGGUAAUGGCUCACCUAGGCGACGAUCCCUAGCUGGUCUGAGAGGAUGAUCGGCCACACUGGAACUGAUACACGGCCCAGACGCCUACGGAGGCAGCAGUGGGGAAUAUUGCACAAUGGGCGAAACCCUGAUCCAGCCAUCCCGCGUGUAUGAUGAAGGCCUUCGGGUUGUAAAGUACUUUUGGCAGAGAAGCGGUAUCUGCAGAAUAAGCACCGGCUAACUACGUGCCAGCAGCCGCGGUAAUUC